rnacentral:rRNA from 1 species
AUUGAACGCUGGCGGCAUGCCUUACACAUGCAAGUCGAACGGCAGCACGGGAGCAAUCCUGGUGGCGAGUGGCGAACGGGUGAGUAAUAUAUCGGAACGUGCCCAGUCGUGGGGAUAACGUAGCGAAAGCUACGCUAAUACCGCAUACGAUCUAUGGAUGAAAGCGGGGGAUCGCAAGACCUCGCGCGAUUGGAGCGGCCGAUAUCAGAUUAGGUAGUUGGUGAGGUAAAGGCUCACCAAGCCGACGAUCUGUAGCUGGUCUGAGAGGACGACCAGCCACACUGGGACUGAGACACGGCCCAGACUCCUACGGGAGGCAGCAGUGGGGAAUAUUGGACAAUGGGCGGCAAGCCUGAUCCAGCCAUGCCGCGUGCAGGAUGACGGUCCUAUGGAUUGUAAACUGCUUUUAUACAGGAAGAAACACUCCGACGUGUCGGAGCUUGACGGUAC